GACACUCUUCACCAGGCAGGCGGUCACUGAAAUCCCGUCCCCCUGCUCUCUGUUUAGAUGCGGAGAACACCGUUUCAUCUCUGAGCACAUUCCCUGAUUCCCGUUGGACAGCCCCACCUGCCCCAGCUCCCGGCCCCUAAAAAAGCUCCGACUCACCAGCUCCUGCUGGGGGCGGGGGGCCGUGAUUCCCGCUGGUCCCCAGCUCUGCCAUGAGCCCAGAAGCUCCAAGGCCGCUGCAGCAGCUGACUUGCAGGAUACCUGACCUGGCUUGCCCAUGGACCCCAAGUUUUGCUCGACCCUUUGGAUACCUGACCCAGCUAGCCUCCUGACCUCGUGCUCUGCUUGACCCUCUGGAUCUUUGACUUGGUUCCUCAGACAGAUGUCGUGGCUUCUGGAUUCCCUGCACUCAGACAUGGUAAAAAGAACAGUGCCUGCACGACACUCUCCAGACCUCUCAUGACCUCACGAAGCAGGGAUCGGAGGAACAGACAAAGCUGAUGUUUUACAACCUCCCUGCUGCCUCUGUACAGAACGGUCAGUUUUGGGUGGCACCUGAAUGACACCGCCUAUGGGGAUCACCUGGCACCACAUACUGUCGUCCGCAUUUUGCUAACGUGUUUUGUCUUUUCAUUUAUCUGUUUGCAAUCUUAUUGAUAGGACUGGUGAAAGCUAUUACAAGCAGGACUAACUCAGAGCUAGGUUCUCGUAUGACAGUGUAUCUGAUCAGUGAUCUGAUCAGUGUAUCUGAUCUCACAUACACAAGUUCAGUAUGUGAUCAGUAAAUACAGGCACUGCUGAGAGGUUUUUGUAUCCCCAAGUCUAUGUAUUUGCUUAUAAUUUUAAGAUCAAGCAUCUUAAAAGAACACAGGAAAGAAAUUCCAAUUUGCAGGGGCUUCAAGUGAUGAGUUUCCUCUAAUUCCUUCCAUAAAUCAGGACAACACUCUCAUUUCAUUUGAAUUCUCCUGCUAGCAAUGAAAACAGAGGAGUAGGCAGGCUAUAGCUGAUGAAUUUUAAGCAGUAUCAGGAACCCACACUGAAUCUGAGCGGGGCCUAUCAUUAGUUCAUUAGGCUGAUUCAUUCCUCAGGCAGAACACUAUGUCUGCUUUAGCACUUAAGAAAACAGAGCAAAUUAUGCUAGAUUAAGUUUAGUAGAGCUCAGUGCACACAUCCACAAGCAGCUGAAGAGUUACUGUGUACACACAGGGUGCAUCUAUGUGUGUGCUUUACUGUUGACUUGACUAAUUAAGCUCUGCAGUAAAACAUCACUGAUACACAUGGACCCAUAUCAGGAUGCAGCAAAUUAACUCUGCUGUAGGCUAGUAUUGUCCAGGCCAAGUACUAUCCCACAGCAGAGUCAUUUACUGCACAGAAAUGCACGUGUGGACAGUGACUGGGACUGCAGCAGUUUGAGCCAGAGCGGAGCAGCCCCAGGCUGACAGCAGGCUCAGGGGUUAGCCAGAGCGCCCCACAGCUUCAGCACUCUCAUGCCAUAGCCAGCCCCUCCACCACCUGAAGCAUGGGGCUGAGCCCUUGAGCCUGCUGACUAAAUGUAAACCUGAGCAACCUGAAUAGUUAGUAUGUCAAAGAUAACAUAUAUUUCUCCCAGGAACUUUUCCUGCCAAUCCCAGCAUCUUCAGUCGCACACAAAUUCAGGAUGAUUCCCAGGAGCUAGAGCUCUUGGAGGGAAACAGUACAGCCCAUAGUUCGGAUGAACAAGUUCUCUCCUUGGUGGCGGUCAAGCAUUAGAGUCCUUCAGCUUUUUCCCCAAAUUAUGAUAAAGCCACAAUAGCUUCAACAGGUCAGCUUCAAUGAAGCUGAAACAACUGGGUGGGCAUGCGUGUGGCUGGUAAAGUGUUUUACAGGGUGUUGCUUAGCACUGGUGGGUUGGCACAGAUGGGUAAAUGGACUAGGCUAAAGCAGCGCAAUUAGGCAGUGGCAGAACUGGAAAGAACCUAGUAGUCCAGAGCCCCAUUCCCCUUGGCGGUAACUCUUCCUUUGUCAAUGGAGUAUUUGCUUUGGUCUCUUCCAGAGCUAUGUGAUAAGAGGAGCCAUCGCCCUUCCUUACAGGGGAACCAUCUCCCCCUUCUGAACAAAGGGAGAGUAAAAGGGUGCUCCGUGCUCAGCUGUACCAUCACUUCAGACUCAGAGACAUCAUCUCCUCUGAAGGGCAGCCAGAUAUACAGGCCAGCCUAGAGGAGAGGACUCCACCCUGCCUGGGCCAGUCUAGAGCCAAAGUUAAAUUGCAUUAAGGAUUGAUUUGCUAAACUACCCAUAGGAAUCUCUCUGCUUUAACAAAUGAAAGCAAAUAUGACUCUCAGGCUAAUAAAAUGUUUGAUGCUACUUUCCAAGGCUCAUAAGGAAAACACCUGUUUUCAUCAGCUCCUGUAUCCUCAUGCAGCUCCUGGCUCAAAAGACAUAAAACUACCACGUUUCAAAACC